AACGAACGCUGGCGGCAUGCCUAACACAUGCAAGUCGAACGAGACCUUCGGGUCUGGUGGCGCACGGGUGCGUAACGCGUGGGAACCUGCCCUUAGGUUCGGCAUAACUCCCCGAAAGGGGUGCUAAUACCGGAUAAUGUCUUCGGACCAAAGAUUUAUCGCCUUGGGAUGGGCCCGCGUUGGAUUAGCUAGUUGGUAGGGUAAAAGCCUACCAAGGCGACGAUCCAUAGCUGGGCUGAGAGGAUGAUCAGCCACACUGGGACUGAGACACGGCCCAGACUCCUACGGGAGGCAGCAGUGGGGAAUAUUGGACAAUGGGCGAAAGCCUGAUCCAGCAAUGCCGCGUGAGUGAUGAAGGCCUUAGGGUUGUAAAGCUAUUUUACCCGGGAUGAUAAUGACAGUACCGGGAGAAUAAGCUCCGGCUAACUCCGUG
rnacentral:rRNA from 1 species